UGAUUGAGUUUGAUCCUGGCUCAGGACGAACGCUGGCGGCGUGCCUAAUACAUGCAAGUAGAACGCUGAGGAUUGAAAGCUUGCUUUUAAUCUGAUGAGUUGCGAACGGGUGAGUAACACGUGGCUAACCUGCCUCUUAGCGGGGGAUAACACUUGGAAACAGGUGCUAAUACCGCAUAACAGCAUUAAUCGCAUGGUUGAUGCUUGAAAGGCGCUUUCUAGCGUCACUAAGAGAUGGAGCCGCGGUGCAUUAGCUAGUAGGCGGGGUAACGGCCCACCUAGGCGAUGAUGCAUAGCCGACCUGAGAGGGUGAUCGGCCACAUUGGGACUGAGACACGGCCCAAACUCCUACGGGAGGCAGCAGUAGGGAAUCUUCGGCAAUGGACGCAAGUCUGACCGAGCAACGCCGCGUGAGUGAAGAAGGUUUUCGGAUCGUAAAACUCUGUUGUUGGAGAAGAACAAGAGGAAAAGGAAAUGUUUCCUCCAUGACGGUAUCCAACCAGAAAGCCACGGCUAACUACGUGCCAGCAGCCGCGGUAAUACGUAGGUGGCAAGCGUUGUCCGGAUUUAUUGGGCGUAAAGCGAGCGCAGGCGGUUUCUUAAGUCUGAUGUGAAAGCCCCCGGCUCAACCGGGGAGGGUCAUUGGAAACUGGGAAACUUGAGUGCAGAAGAGGAGAGUGGAAUUCCAUGUGUAGCGGUGAAAUGCGUAGAUAUAUGGAGGAACACCAGUGGCGAAGGCGGCUCUCUGGUCUGUAACUGACGCUGAGGCUCGAAAGCGUGGGGAGCGAACAGGAUUAGAUACCCUGGUAGUCCACGCCGUAAACGAUGAGUGCUAAGUGUUGGAGGGUUUCCGCCCUUCAGUGCUGCAGCUAACGCAUUAAGCACUCCGCCUGGGGAGUACGGCCGCAAGGCUGAAACUCAAAGGAAUUGACGGGGGCCCGCACAAGCGGUGGAGCAUGUGGUUUAAUUCGAAGCAACGCGAAGAACCUUACCAGGUCUUGACAUCCCUUUGACCGUCCUAGAUAUAGGAUUUCCCUUCGGGGCAAAGGUGACAGGUGGUGCAUGGUUGUCGUCAGCUCGUGUCGUGAGAUGUUGGGUUAAGUCCCGCAACGAGCGCAACCCCUAUGUUUAGUUGCCAUCAUUUAGUUGGGCACUCUAGACAGACUGCCGGUGACAAACCGGAGGAAGGUGGGGAUGACGUCAAAUCAUCAUGCCCCUUAUGACCUGGGCUACACACGUGCUACAAUGGGACAUACAACGAGCAGCUAACCAGCGAUGGUGUGCGAAUCUCUGAAAGUGUCUCUCAGUUCGGAUUGCAGGCUGCAACUCGCCUGCAUGAAGCCGGAAUCGCUAGUAAUCGCGGAUCAGCACGCCGCGGUGAAUACGUUCCCGGGCCUUGUACACACCGCCCGUCACACCACGAGAGUUUGUAACACCCGAAGCCGGUGAGGUAACCUUUUGGAGCCAGCCGUCGAGGGUGGGAUAGAUGAUUGGGGUGAAGUCGUAACAAGGUAGCCGUA
rnacentral:rRNA from 1 species